rnacentral:rRNA from 1 species
UACGUAGGGUGCAGCGUUAAUCGGAAUUACUGGGCGUAAAGCGUGCGCAGGCGGUUCGCUAAGACAGAUGUGAAAUCCCCGGGCUUAACCUGGGAAUGGCAUUGGUGACUGCACGGCUAGAGUGUGUCAGAGGGGGGUAGAAUUCCACGUGUAGCAGUGAAAUGCGUAGAGAUGUGGAGGAAUACCGAUGGCGAAGGCAGCCCCCUGGGAUAACACUGACGCUCAUGCACGAAAGCGUGGGGAGCAAACAGG